rnacentral:rRNA from 1 species
UACAGAGGUCUCAAGCGUUGUUCGGAUUCAUUGGGCGUAAAGGGUGCGUAGGCUGUUCCGUAAGUCGGAUGUGAAAUCCUGGGGCUCAACCUCAGAACUGCAUUCGAUACUGCGGGGCUGGAGGACUGGAGAGGAGACUGGAAUUCACGGUGUAGCAGUGAAAUGCGUAGAUAUCGUGAGGAAGACCAGUGGCGAAGGCGGGUCUCUGGACAGUUCCUGACGCUGAGACGCGAAAGCCAGGGGAGCGAACGGG